GCUGGAGCAGUGGCGUGGUGUUAGGCGGCAGGAACAUGAUGCUGAUGAAGCUGAACUCCUCCAACAAGUCCUCCUCAAGGCCUUUAGGAUGAGCAGGAGCAUUGUCCAUCAGAAGCAAAGCCUUCAGCGGCAGGUCGUUGUCCAGCAGGUACUGUUUGACAGCAGGGCCAAAAGCAAGAUUGACCCAGUCCACAAACAGCACACGUGUGACCCAAGCCUUACUGUUGGAUCGCCACAUGACACUCAGCUGCUCCUUGUCGACCUUGUGUUUCUUGAAGGCCCGUGGGUUCUCCGAGUGGUACACCAGCAGGGGCUUGAUCUUCAGGUCGCCGCUUGCGUUGGCACAGAAGAGCAGGGUCAGACGGUCCUUCAUGGGCUUGUGGCCAGGCAACUUGGCCUCCUCCUGUGUGAUGAAAGUCCUUUUGGGCAUCCUCUUCCAAAACAGCCCAGUCUCGUCGCAUUGAAGACCUGCUGUGGAACGUAGCCCUCCGUCUUCACAGCCUCCAGGAACUCCGCUGCAAAGUCUUCAGCCGCAGGAACAUCAGAACUGGCAGCCUCUCCAUGCCUGACCACGCUGUGGAUUCCAGAUCUUGCCUUGAACCGGUCAAACCAACCUCUGCUUGCCUUGAAGACUUCUGGCUCGCCUGAGGUUCCUGGCUGUUUCUGGACGAGGUCUGCGUGCAAGGCCUUGGCCUUCUCACAAAUGACGGCCUCAGUCACUGUGUCCCCUGCACGCUGCUUCUCUUCUAACCAGAUGAGCAGCAACUUCUCGACCUCCUCCAGAACAGCUGGGCGGUUCUUUAUGAUCCUGGUGACUCCCUUGGCUGCAUCAGUCGCAAGGAUCUUCUCCCUCAUCUUCAGGAUGGUCCCGAUGGUCGAUGGAUUCCUCCCGUACUCCCUGGCGAGGUCUGUCACACGCAUUCCACCGUCGUGCUUCCGGAUGAUCUCCUUCUUCAUUUCCAGCGUCACCUUCUCCUUCUUCCUCUCGCCGGCCUCUGCAGCAGCAGUCUUCUUGGGUCCCAUGGCAGCACAGCUCCUAGCUUCGCAAACUCAG